UAAAAAGCUGUGACGGAACUACUGUCGGAACUUCGUGAAAAAGAGAACUAGCGGCUGGUGGAAGCUAGGUACGAAACCCGAAUAAGUGAUCAUUCCCGAGCUACUAGCUGAACAAAGUAAGCUAAGUUGGUUACCACCCAUUAUCCUGGUCGCGAAUGAAAGUUCGUGCUAAGUGGCUCACUUUUGAGCAAGUAGGAUGGUACCACGUGAAAGCGCUCCUGCU
rnacentral:ncRNA from 1 species